ACAAGCGGUGGAGUAUGUGGUUUAAUUCGACGCAACGCGCAGAACCUUACCUAGGCUUGACAUCCCGGGAAUUUGCUGGAAACAGUGAAGUGCUUUCAUUAGAAAGAGCCCGGUGACAGGUGCUGCAUGGCUGUCGUCAGCUCGUGUCGCGAGAUGUUGGGUUAAGUCCCGCAACGAGCGCAACCCUCGCCUUUAGUUGCCAGCAUUCAGUUGGGCACUCUAAAGGGACUGCCGGUGUCAAACCGGAGGAAGGUGGGGAUGACGUCAAGUCCUCAUGGCCUUUAUGACCAGGGCUACACACGUACUACAAUGGCCGGCACAAAGGGCAGCAAGCCUGCGAAGGUAAGCUAAUCCCGAAAAACCGGUCUCAGUCCGGAUCGCAGUCUGCAACUCGACUGCGUGAAGUUGGAAUCGCUAGUAAUCGUGGAUCAGCAUGCCACGGUGAAUACGUUCCCGGGCCUU
rnacentral:rRNA from 1 species